AUGGCGACAGCGUUGUCGGCGCCCGUCUCCACGGCGACGGUGCGAGUUUUCAAUAUCCCGCCCUCCGCCGUCGCUAAGGAGCUCCUAGCCUUCUUCAAUUCCGCCGUCGUCGCCGCCGGCGAAGCGUACGCCUGCGAGAUCGCCGCCGCCCGACGCGGCUGGCUAAGCCGAGGCAAUGGCAGCGUUCAGUUCGAUUCCACCGCCACCGCAACCCUCGCCGCCGAACUCGUCUCCUCCGGGCGCCUACCCCGCUUCCUCGGCUCCCUCCUCUCCGUCUCCCCUGCCCCCUCGGACCUUCUUCCCCGCGCGCCGGACCUUUCUCUCCGCGUGGCCGACGCCCGCCUCCUUGUAGGCAACCGCGUCGCCGAGCGCGAAUUCGAGGCGGCUGACUCUUGGGACAGCGUGCGCGUGGAGGUCAUCCCGGGGAAGCGUCGCAUAGACCUGUACCUGAAUCACGAUUCCAAGAUGUACAAGCUUGAGGUGUUCUUCGAGGACAUCAGGAACUGCUACCAGUGCAGCUUCGAUGGGGCCGGCGCCAUCUUGCUUCAGAGAACGGAAAUACAACCAGUUCAAGCGAGAAGGACAGGAGGAGGGAAAGAGCUCAUGUAUGCACCAAGAAUAUACACAACAAUUUCUGGGCCUGCAGUUUAUUCAAGGUUCUCAGAUGACCGCUUUCAUGCAUGCAAGGAGGAUGUGAAGUUUACCUGGGUCAGAGCACUAGAUUUUACACCUAACCACUCUUUUGGGAAGUGUUCAACUAUUGCCCUCGUGCUCGAUGAAGGUGCACCGGUGUCAUUUAUUCUCAACAGCUUACCUUUCUCAGGAGAGUUAGGGGAAUUGGUCAUUUCUUCAAUGGAAUUUUUUGGCCCGUCGUCCAAAGUCGUUCCCCUUGUUGACUGCCCAAGUGGUUGUUCAGUGUCGUAUGAAGUUCUUUUUCGUCUCAAUUCUCUUGUUCACAUGGGGAAGAUAGUUGCCAAACAUGUUAAUGCUGAUCUGUUUAAAGCUCUUGAAGAAAUACCAGUUCAUAUUUCAAGGAGGAUUUUUGAGAAAAUGAGCAAGUUAGAGUUUACAUGCUAUGGACCUUUGCAAUUCAUCCAGCAGGAGGCUCAGAGCAGGAAUAGGAGCCACAAUGCUUUGCUUUCCAGUAAGACUGAAGGUGAAGGAAAGUUAAUGAUGUGUUACAGAAUUCACAUCACUCCAUCCAAAAUAUACUGCUUGGGACCUGAGGAAGAAGUUUCAAAUUAUGUGGUUAAGCAUCACAAACAGUAUGCUUCUGACUUUGCUAGAGUUACUUUUGUCGACGAAGACUGGAGUAAGCUUUUUCCAGAUGCUAUCUCAGCUAGAACUGGACGAGGGUUCUUUUCUCAACCCUUGAAAACUGGCCUAUAUUAUCGUAUUUUAUCCAUCCUGAAAGAAGGAUUUUGCAUUGGUCCAAAGAAGUAUGAAUUCCUGGCCUUCUCAGCAAGUCAACUUCGUGGAAGUUCUGUUUGGAUGUUUGCCUCUAAUGAUUCCCUGAAGGCCGAGGAUAUAAGAAGGUGGAUGGGCAACUUUGAAGAAAUUCGAUCAGUAUCUAAGUGUGCGGCUAGAAUGGGACAGCUGUUCAGCUCCUCCAGACAAACACUUGAAAUCCUACCACGGGAUGUAGAAGAGAUUCCAGAUAUUGAAGUCACAACUGAUGGCACUAAAUACAUAUUUUCUGAUGGUAUCGGGAAGAUCUCUGAGAGAUUUGCUAAAGAAAUGGCUUGCCGAAUUGGAUUAGACUAUACUAACCCUCCUUCAGCUUUUCAAAUAAGGUAUGGUGGCUACAAAGGAGUUGUUGCUGUCGACCCUGAUUCCUUUCGUAAUCUUUCUCUGCGACCUAGUAUGAAGAAAUUCGAAUCAAAGAGCAGAAUGUUUAACAUUACAAGUACCAGCAAAUCCCAACCAUGCUAUAUGAAUCGUGAAAUUAUCUCUCUCCUUUCAACUUUGGGGAUAAGAGAUGAGAUAUUUGAGUUGAUGCAACAAGAUGAUAUGCGUGAAUUAGAUGAAAUGCUGACCAACAGAGAAGCUGCUCUCUCUGUUCUGGGGAAAAUUGGUAGUGCAGAAACGAAGACAGCAUCGAAAAUUUUACUGCAAGGUUAUGAACCAAGUUUAGAGCCUUACCUGUUGAUGAUUCUUAAGGCCCAUCAGGAUAAUAGGCUGACUGACAUAAGAACUAGAUGUAAGAUUCAUGUUCCGAAAGGCCGUGUUCUUAUUGGUUGUUUGGACGAAACAGGUGAAUUAGAAUAUGGUCAAGUGUACAUCAGAAUUUCAAAGAACAGCAAAGAGCAGAAGGAUAAUUGUCAACCAUAUUUUUCUGAAGAUAAUGGGACAGAGAAAACAGCAGUUGUUGUUGGAAGAGUUGCAGUAUCGAAAAAUCCUUGUCUCCAUCCUGGUGACAUCAGAGUACUUGAAGCUGUCUAUGACCAUGGAUUGUACGCUAAGAACCUGGUUGAUUGUGUUGUCUUCCCUCAAAGAGGAGAAAGGCCUCAUCCAAAUGAAUGCUCCGGGGGCGAUUUGGACGGUGACCUCUAUUUUAUCACUUGGGACGAGAAACUGAUUCCAGAGAAGGUUGAUUCACCUAUGGACUAUACUGCAGCAAGGCCACGCAUAAUGGAUCAUGUUGUUACACUUGAGGAAAUUCAGAAGUACUUUGUAGAUUACAUGAUAAAUGACUCGCUCGGGGCAAUCUCAACUGCUCACUUGGUCCACGCGGAUCGUCAUCCAAUGAAAGCCCGGAGCCCUGAGUGCCUCCAGCUAGCUGCUUUGCAUUCGAUGGCGGUCGACUUUGCCAAGUCAGGAGCUCCAGCUGAAAUGCCCCGGUCACUGAGACCAAAGGAGUACCCCGACUUCAUGGAACGGUGGGACAAACCAACGUACAUCUCCGACGGAGCUCUCGGCAAGCUCUACCGAGCGGCUGCGAGCCGUAUGCAGAGCGCUCCUGCCACCUCGUCCUCGGCUCAACCGAGCCCCGCGUUUGAUCCCGACCUGGAGGUCCCUGGCUUCGAGGAAUUCCUGGCAUCCGCAGAGGAGUGCUAUGACCUGUACGUGGAGAAGCUGAGCACCCUGAUGGUCUACUACGGCACGGAGCACGAGGACGAGAUCCUGACUGGCAACAUCCGGAACAGGCUCCUGUACUUGAAGAAGGACAACAAGAGGUACUUCGAGAUGAAGGACCGCAUCAUCGACUCUGUCGAGGGCCUGCACAAGGAGGUGCGGGGUUGGUUCAUGAGCUGCCCGAAGGCGGAGGCGGCGAGGAGGGCCUCGGCGUGGUACCGGGUGACCUAUCACCCGGACCACCGCCGGCCUGGAAAGAAGCAGUUCUGGAGCUUCCCGUGGAUCGUCUGCGACGAGCUGCUGAAGAUCAAGGAGUCCAAUAAGCGGCGCAGGCAGCAGGUGGACGACGCGGCGGCCUGA
rnacentral:rRNA from 1 species